GACGAACGCUGGCGGCGUGCUUAACACAUGCAAGUCAAGGGGGCCCGCAAGGGCAACCGGCGAACGGGUGCGUAACACGUGAGCAAGCUUCCGAUUUGUGGGGGAUAGCCGGCCCAACGGCCGGGUAAUACCGCAUACCUUCACUGGACGGCAUCGUCUGGUGAGGAAACCUCCGGGGCAAAUCGAGGCGCUCGCGGCCUAUCAGCUAGUUGGCGAGGUAACGGCUCACCAAGGCUAUGACGGGUAGCUGGUCUGAGAGGAUGGCCAGCCACAUUGGGACUGCGACACGGCCCAGACUCCUACGGGAGGCAGCAGUGGGGAAUAUUGCGCAAUGGACGAAAGUCUGACGCAGCGACGCCGCGUGUGGGAUGAAGCCUUUCGGGGCGUAAACCACUGUUGCCCGGGACGAACAUCCCCUUUCGAGGGGACUGACGGUACCGGGUGAGGAAGCACCGGCUAACUCUGUGCCAGCAGCCGCGGUAAUACAGAGGGUGCGAGCGUUGUCCGGAAUCACUGGGCGUAAAGGGCGCGUAGGUGGCUCGGUAAGCGUGUGGUGAAAGUCCGGGGCUCAACCCCGGAUCUGCCGUGCGAACUGCUGAGCUCGAGCGAUGUAGAGGCAGGUGGAAUUUCGGGUGUAGCGGUGGAAUGCGUAGAUAUCCGAAAGAACACCAGUGGCGAAGGCGGCCUGCUGGGCAUCAGCUGACACUGAGGCGCGACAGCGUGGGGAGCAAACAGGAUUAGAUACCCUGGUAGUCCACGCCGUAAACGAUGGGUACUAGGUGUCUGGGGGAGCGACCCCCUGGGUGCCGGCGCUAACGCAUGAAGUACCCCGCCUGGGGAGUACGGCCGCAAGGCUGAAACUCAAAGGAAUUGACGGGGGCCCGCACAAGCGGUGGAGCAUGUGGUUUAAUUCGACGCAACGCGAAGAACCUUACCUAGGCUUGACAUGCUGGAGAAAGCUCGCAGAAACGUGAGCCCCUCUUCGGAGUUCCAGCACAGAUGCUGCAUGGCUGUCGUCAGCUCGUGUCGUGAGAUGUUGGGUUAAGUCCCGCAACGAGCGCAACCCUCACUCUUAGUUACCAGCGGGUAAAGCCGGGGACUCUAGGGGGACUGCCGGUGCCAAACCGGAGGAAGGUGGGGAUGACGUCAAGUCAUCAUGGCUCUUACGUCUAGGGCUACACACGUGCUACAAUGGGCCGGACAGAGGGUCGCCAACUCGCGAGAGUGAGCCAAUCCCCAAACCGGUCCUCAGUUCGGAUUGCAGUCUGCAACUCGACUGCAUGAAGCUGGAAUCGCUAGUAAUCGUGGAUCAGCUACGCCACGGUGAAUACGUUCCCGGGCCU
rnacentral:rRNA from 1 species